GAUGAACGCUGGCGGCGUGCCUAAUACAUGCAAGUCGAGCGAACAGAUAAGGAGCUUGCUCCUUUGACGUUAGCGGCGGACGGGUGAGUAACACGUGGGUAACCUACCUAUAAGACUGGAAUAACUCCGGGAAACCGGGGCUAAUGCAGGAUAACAUGUUGAACCGCAUGGUUCUACAGUGAAAGGCGGCUUUGCUGUCACUUAUAGAUGGACCCGCGCCGUAUUAGCUAGUUGGUGAGGUAACGGCUCACCAAGGCAACGAUACGUAGCCGACCUGAGAGGGUGAUCGGCAACACUGGAACUGAGACACGGUCCAGACUCCUACGGGAGGCAGCAGUAGGGAAUCUUCCGCAAUGGGCGAAAGCCUGACGGAGCAACGCCGCGUGAGUGAUGAAGGUCUUCGGAUCGUAAAACUCUGUUAUUAGGGAAGAACAAAUGCGUAAGUAACUGUGCGCGUCUUGACGGUACCUAAUCAGAAAGCCACGGCUAACUACGU
rnacentral:rRNA from 1 species